CUACGGGCGGCAGCAGUGAGGAAUAUUGCACAAUGGGGGGAACCCUGAUGCAGCAACGCCGCGUGGAGGAUGACGCAUUUCGGUGUGUAAACUCCUUUUAUAUGUCAAGAAAAUGACGGUAGCAUAUGAAUAAGCACCGGCUAACUCCGUGCCAGCAGCCGCGGUAAUACGGAGGGUGCAAGCGUUACUCGGAAUCACUGGGCGUAAAGGACGCGUAGGCGGAUUGGAAAGUCAGGUGUGAAAUCCUACAGCUUAACUGUAGAACUGCACUUGAAACUUCUAAUCUAGAGUAUGGGAGGGGGAGAUGGAAUUAGUGGUGUAGGGGUAACAUCCGUAGAUAUCACUAGGAAUACCUAAAGCGAAGGCGAUCUCCUGGAACAUUACUGACGCUAAGGCGUGAAAGCGUGGGGAGCAAACAGGAUUAGAUACCCCCGUAGUC
rnacentral:rRNA from 1 species